AGGAAAGUUCCUGAAAUACUUCCUGUCUCUGAGCAUUGUCCUUCCAACAUGCUGUAGUGUGACUUGGGUCUGUAAUCAAGGAAAAGGAGGAGAAGGUGGAACCCAGCAGGCUGACUGUACACAGGUAUGUGCUUCUGGGUCUUCUUCCUUCACACGUUUUGUUCUUAGGCAUUACUGAGUCAUGGUGUGUGUGCACAUACAUGUGCAAGCACAUGGGGAGACUCGCCCGAGGUCAACCUUGGAUAGCAUUCAUUCCUCAGGGGCCACCCACUUUCUGUUUGUUUUCUGUUUUUUAAUUUACAUGUAUCUUGUAUGUAUAAGCAUGUGGAGGUCAGAGGACAAUUUGUGGGAGUCAGUUCUUUCCUUCCCAUGAGGGUCCCUGAAACUGAACUCAGGCCACCAGGUUUCUUAGCAGAUGUCCAA
rnacentral:lncRNA from 1 species